AGAUGCGCACACCCCGCGUCCAACUCUGCGCUUGCAACUAUGGUAACGCUAUUGAUUUCCAGCUCAGUUUGACCCACUGGAGAUAAACAAGGGGCUCCCUGUCUCAUGAUGGCUACGAACUUUCAAUUGAUUGAGUCCCCUUCUCCGCGUUUGUUCUGCAACACCUUUUCUGUGUCCACACAGAAUUCCAAGACUAAAAUCAGCGAAGAGCAAAUGUGAAAUUCUGUAAUCGCCUGAAUUUUACCUAUUUUGCCUAACUACGCAAUUAUUUUGUUUUUGAAUAAAAGAAAGGAACUAUUUGUCAACUGGGGCAGGAGGACCUAAGCACGGCGGGUUGGUUUCUACUACCUUAAGCCUGGGGGGGGGGGGGGGGGAGCACGUCCGGCUCUGGGUUCACCAGACGACUCGUAAUUGGCGGCUCUGUAGCCUUGUACUGGCAAAGACUGUUGGCUGGCCGGCCCUCGCCUCCUCCCCUCCUGGCCGCGCCCCGUACCUUCUGUGCCUCACUGAAAGCUGGCGUGUGUUACGGACGUCAUAUGUUGUUUUGCUCUUUAGCCAGUCAUAGUGUGUGUGUUUUAGUUAUAGCUAACCUUUCCACUCCGAUACACGUAGAGUAAGAGGAAGAGCAGGAAAAAAAUCCAGUACGUCAGUUUUCAUUUGGAAAAGGUGAAAAAUAACGCCCGCGACAUUUAUCUAUGUGUGAACAUUCUUUCUGAAUAAUGGCGAGCCCGCCAGCGGCAAAAGGAGGGUCAGCUGGUUAUCUCUCCCCGGCCAAGGUGAGGAAAUGCGGCUACUUGAAGAAACAGAAACACGGACACAAGAGGUUUUUCGUUCUUCGGGAGCAGAGCGGCAGUUUUCCGGCCAGACUCGAGUACUACGAAAAUGAGAAAAAGUGGAGGAACAAGUCGUCGGCCAAGAGGGUAAUCUCCUUGGACUGCUGUCUGAGCAUCAACAAGAGAGCGGACGCCAAGUACAAAUACCUGAUCGCGCUCUACACCAAAGAGGAAUACCUGGCGGUGGCGGCGGACAACGAGCAGGAGCAACAGAGCUGGUUCAGCGCGCUUACCGAGCUGUUGCCCUCCGCCUCCAGCUUGCCGCUGUCACACUGCACCGAGCACAGCGACUGUGGACUGCUUUACACCGCCCUGUACAAACAAGUGUGGCAAGUAAACCUGAAGCCUAAAGGCUUGGGCCAGGCCAAAAAUCUUAGCGGCUUUUACAUGCUGUGCCUUUCCAUCAGAAGCAUAAGCUUAGUAAAACUCAACUGUGACGUGCCGUCGGUCACCCUGCAGCUAAUGAACAUCAGGCGGUGCGGCCACUCGGAGAAUUUCUUCUUCAUUGAAGUGGGGAGGUCGGCGUCCACCGGCCCCGGGGAGCUGUGGAUGCAGGUGGAUGACUCGGUGGUGGCUCAGCAUAUUCAUGAAACCAUUCUCGAAGCUAUGAAAGCCAUGAAAGAUGUGUGCGAAUUCCGACCCCGCAGCAAGAGUCAGUCGUCCGGGUCCAAUCCAAUCAGCGUGCCCUGCCGGAGGCACCUGGUCCACCUACCGCCGAGCCAGACCGGGCUGCAGAGGAGAUCGCGGACUGACAGCAUGGCGACCCCAUCACCUGCUGGUAAGAUCGUACCGGGUCGUAUGAGGACAGCGAGUGAAGGGGAUAACAAUUCUAUGACUGGUAGCCCCAUUAGCCCCAGUACAGUGAGAACACACUUCAUUCGUUCAAGUACAAUAUUUAGAAAUCCCAGAAUGAUGCAGUCCAGUGUUCUUCACCACAGUCGAUCAAUGUCCAUGCCGGUGUCCCGUUCUCCCUUGUCUGCUGCAAGUCCAGUGAGCCUAUCAUCAAGUAGUGGGCAUGGGUCAGCAUCAGACACCAUAGUUCGCCCAUCCAGUAGCAAUGCAUCUGUUUCGGGAUCUCCAAGUGAUGGAGGAUUUAUUUCUUUCGAUGAAUGUGGUUCAAGUCCUGGAGACUUAAGGCAUUACAUAGGGAACAGAAGUAAUACUCCAGAAUCUCUUGCGUACACUCCACCUGUACGAGAGAGUAAUGAAUUGUAUGGCUAUAGGUUAAUGGAAAGACAUACAAGUGGUCAGUGUAACCGCAGCUGUUGUCAUACAGCAAGGGAUGAAAGUUCCGAAACACAGAGAAGUUACCGGAAAAGAACGUGUUCCUUAACAACCCCAUGCCGACAGCGUGCUAUUUCACAUGUUUCUUCAGUUUCACUAGAUGAAUAUACUUUAAUGAAAGCUACCUGCAUGGGCAAUUCAGGCCAUCUGUCGUGUGCUGUGUCCCCAAAAGUGUGCUAUAAUCCUUAUCCAGAAGACUAUUGUGAUAUUGAAAUAGGAUCCCAAAAAAGUUCUGAAUGCAGUAACUAUGGUGAUGAUGAUGGCUAUAUGCCAAUGACCCUUGGAAUGGUAAAUGUACCUGUAAAAAAUGAUGACUACAUGCCAAUGAGCCCCAAAUGUGUGUCUGCCCCAAAGCAAAUAAUUAAUCCUCGAUCACAUCCGCAAGUAAACAUAAAUGGAUAUAAGAACAUUUCUCCUGUUGAGUGCUGCUCACCUGAUACCAUUGGAUACAAGAGAAUGUGGUAUGGAUCAAAGAUUUCAGGAGAAAAUUCUGAUGGGAAGUUCACCAAUGAUGAAUAUAUGAACAUGUCUCCUGUUGAUCACUGUGCAUCAGUUACUCCCCCGGACUGUUUUUUCCCUGUAAGUAAUGAACGUCCUCGAUCCAGUGAUUCCUUUAGCUCACUACCCCAAUCUCGCAAGCCUCAUUUUCAGAAGGAUGGAGAAAAUGAUCAUUAUGUUCUGAUGAGUUCGCCACAUGCUGUUAUUUUUGAAGAGCCUGCACUUGGUAUAAAGUCUAACUCAUCCUGUGUAAUUAAUCAUGCUGUACAUUUACCAGUAAGGCAAAGUCAGAGGGAUGGUUUUGUACUUCGAGAAAAAGCUCUGAGACCCUCUAGACUGUCACUGGAGAUGCUAAGAGCCAACACACCACCAAGUACAAAUGAACCUUCUUUGCCACCGAAACCAAAAAGCCCAGGAGAAUACAUCAAUAUAGAUUUCAGCAACAAAUUUGUAUAUGCCUCACCAUCUGUGCCACCAAAAGUUUCCUUAUCUUCCUCAGAUUCUGCUAAUGUUCAGAAAAGGUUGCCAGCAUCUGAUUACAUGAAUGUUAAUCUCAGUUCACAGUCACCAAAGAAUGGAAUUGUUUCUGUCAAUUCCUUUGAUGCAAUAACUGGAUAUCCAGAGACAUGCCCCAACAGAAGUCAUCCUGCUGAUACUUUCCUGAAAAGUCAGGUUGAGACAACCCCCUUUUCUCACCCCUCAGAAGAUGAAACUGAAUAUACAGAAAUGACAUUUGUAAUGGCCACGACACCUCCACUACCAGAUUCAAACCAUGAAAGUACCCAAGUGGCUACAGUGGUGAAAAGACUUUCUCUAAUCGAUCAGAUGCCUGUGGUAGAUAUUUUCAUGCUUCCAAAUGUGGCACCAGAUCCCAAUCGGGGUGCUAAAGUAAUCCGUGCUAACCCCCAGGGACGCAGGCGGCAUAGCUCAGAGACAUUCUCUUCCACAACGACUGUCACACCGGUUUCACCUUCAUUUGCUCACGAUCCCAAAAGGCACAGUUCUGCUUCAUUUGAAAAUGUUUCUCUCAGAAAGAAUGAAGAAACUGAGGAGCUUAAAGGAAGCCCAAUCUGUCGCAAAACUUCCACUGGUUUCCAAGAUGGGCUGAAUUAUGUUGCCUUGGAUUUAGUGAAUGAUAAUUUAUUGAGCUGUGAAAAAAUAGCGCAACGUCGAUCAACACCUCAACCGAAAGGAAAUACUAACUAUUGAUACAGUUUCAAAAUAACGAAAAAGGAAAACAGCCCGAAGCAAAUGUUUGGGCGCCCUGCAUGAUUGCUGAACUCACAUUUGUAUUUAGUAAUAUGGCUUUUUCAAAAUGGCGUUUCUUCUUCCCAUAAGUCUUUGCUCUUGAAACGUCAUCUUGUAUUUGAACACGGGAUUUUUUUUAAAGGAGACCCAUAUCAGGAGGGAGGAUAAUCAACGUUUUUUUAGGUUCUGGAAGGGUCAACAAUUUCACUCGAAUUGUACCGCUAAAAUUAGGGGUGUGUCUAUUUUUAUAGACCCCUCAAUUUCGUUUACACAUCAUGAAAUUAUUUCUGACCCACAGGAUUGACCCAUCUACUCUAUUACUGGAACUUUGCAAAAAUGAUGCUGCUUAGAAGAUACCUUUGUCAAAUGCUGCUCAAGUUUACCUUUUCUCUUCAUCGUGAAUGGGUAGCUAAUAAUGCCUUGAGACCGUUAUAACACUGCAAUGCACAGCAUAUCUUCAAGGACAAGGAAGAUUUCUGCCUCAUUAGUUUCUGUUAUGGGUAUCGAUCAUCCUCUUUAUUUUCCAGGAGAAGUGCACUGAAGCUUUUCUUGUUCAGCAUUACAUUAACUGUUGCCUGUUUUGACUUGUUUUAAGAUGAGAUAUGGCCAGCAUUUAUUACUUUCCCAGUCUGGUAACACCUGGAUUGCAUUACCUUAAUCAAAAUGGCCAGUCAUCAGCUGAAUUGACAGAAAUGUUACUGACCUGCUACAAAUACUACCUCGUUUAAACACUAAAGCAGCCUUUAAUGGGAGAAGUACACAAACAGCAUUGGCAACGCUGAUCUCCCAAGAUACCAAAACAAUUUCAACAUUUGGAAGUACUGUACCAAUGUGGUAAGCUGGAAUUUUGGGGUUAUCAUGUUCAACAAAGACUCUGUUCAGUAGUUUUAGCCCACACCUGAAAAUCAGGAUGGGCUGACAGAAGUGCAAUUUCAGAUUACUGGACUUUGACCACAGGACACUGGAAAGACCCAUCAAAAUCCCAACAAGGAUUUCUGUAAAAACAAGAUGAUUAUUUUCAGUUUCCUUAGAGGGAAAAUAGGAAUCUGUUCAAAGGUUAUGUGCCUAAAAAGUUGUUUGUGAUUUGUAAUGUUAAAUGUAAUUUGUACUUUCUCCUCAAAAUUUUGAUCCAUUGACCAGAGAUAAAUUUCAAGGCAAUGUAAAGUUCUUGGUGUUUCUUACCCAUGAAUGCUACUUAUAUUGGGUGCAGAAUGUAGACUGUUCAGUGCUGCUUUUGACAGAUGUGACUGCACACAAACUUCCUGCUGACUUAUUUAUUAACAUUGGAACUGUUGACAAAAAUGUGCCAGAAAACCCUGAAUGUAGACACGAUUUUUUGCAAGUGAUAGAAUUUUCACCACAGAACUAUGUGAAGUUCUCCUCCUUUUGCUGGAGGUCAGUUCCCUUGUAGUCAUGGUUGAUGAUGUGUGUAAAUAACAUGCAAGUAAAAUCUAUAUUGUGAACAUUGCUUAUUUUUACAUAAGAUAAAAAUGGAAAGAACCUAGGUACAGUGGCUGAAUCAGCAUUAAAAGCUACUUAUAACCAUAGCACUGAAAGAAACGCUGACUUGGAAUUUAAUUGCCUUGACAUCAGCAGGACAUUGGAAUGAACUGAAAUCAGUGGAGCAUUUUCCAUUGGAAACAGGUUUUGUAACCUCACAGAAAUGUUUGAAUGUACGAUUCAGACUUACGUAUGGAAUAUUUUACAUCCUUAGUUUACAGUUUGAACCUAUAGUUACUCUUUUCACUAGAAUGUAUAGCAACAUUUGUUAUCUGUAUAUUUUGCUAUUUUCAGUUUAAGGCAUGCGUUUUUCCUCAUGAACUUGUAUAAACCUUGAACAAUAUAAAAAACAGGGUUUUCAUGUUAAUUUUUUAGUCUAGAGAUGAAAGAUAAUAUGUAUUACUACUUGUAAGUAGACAAAAGAUUAUUGUAAUCUUAUCAUAUUUUGCUGUCUUCCAUUUUAUGUACUGUAUAUAGGUUUUGAUGUAAUGCUGCCGGAAGAUGAGAAACUAAUUUAGAAUAGUGUAUUAUGCUUUCUCUAAAUUGAAUGUUCUUGAAUGUUCCCUUGAUAGCAUUACACAACACAAUAAUCUAACACUUCUGAAAAAUGUUGUUUCCUAAUUUUAAUUAUCAAUAAUUUGACUGUAUUAGCAAUACAAUUAGCUCCAGCUACAAAUUUCCAUAGCAUCUCUCUUUCCUUAUUGACUGGGAUGAAUUCGGAAGUCCUGAUGUACCUGUGGACUGUGCUGGCAGCUGAUAGGAAGCAGCAGAGUAUUUUCUGCAGCUUGUUUGUCACAGCUACUUUAAUUUGGCCAUUGUAUUAACAUAAAUAAAACAGAAGCAUAACAA